UACGUAGGGUGCGAGCGUUAAUCGGAGUUACUGGGCGUAAAGCGUGCGCAGGCGGUUCGUUAUGUCCUUUGUGACAGCCCCGGGCUCAACCUGGGAAUGGCAAUGGAAACUGGCGAGCUUGAGUGUGGCAGAGGGGGGUGGAAUUCCGCGUGUAGCAGUGAAAUGCGUAGAGAUGCGGAGGAACACCGAUGGCGAAGGCAGCCCCCUGGGCUGACACUGACGCUCAGGCGCGAAAGCGUGGGGAGCAAACAGG
rnacentral:rRNA from 1 species